GCUCAACUAACUUUUCAUCCCUUUGCAUUUGUUGUGGGAACCAGCACUGUCAGUGUACUUCGCUUGAUAACGCUGGGGGGCUAGAAGGGGGGAAUUUGUUGCACACUCCGUCUCCCCACCACCUCUCCUACUUUACCUUUGAACAUUUUCAAGAGGCCAGAGGGGACCUAGGGGAGAGCAUACAGGGCAAUUAGCUUGGACAAAUACAAAAAAAAGCCCUUGCGUCCUCUGUUGCCAUCCUUUUCGUUCUCUAAAAGUCAGCGGAAAGUGAAGAAAGGAUUUUGUUUUGAUAAAUGGAGACAGAAGGGGACACAAGGAAUUGAGGAAAGACUACUGAGUUGUGGCCAGAAAAGCAAAUUUGAUGGGCAAAGCUUGCAGAUUCUCAAUGACUGAAAUUUCAAACGUAUCUUCCCUUGACCACACUGGUCCUCUAGGUAUGUGGUAGAAGACCAUAAGGAAUUGUCUUUAAAUGUGAUGAGUUGUCUCUACAGUACGUCAAUGACAUCCAAUCAGGAUGUGUCACAGCUUUCUGCUGUAUUCAAUCAUCUCUGCUAGCUUUUGCUCCUGCAGCCCCAUGGCUAAUGCUAGCCCAGGCUUAGAUUUCUGGCUUUUAGAUGAAGGGCUAAUGCUAGCCCAGGCUUAGAUCUCUGGCUUUUAGAUAAAGGGCUAAUGCUAGCCUAGACUUAGAUCUCAGGCUUUUAGAUAAAGGGCUAAUGCUAGUCCAGGCUUAGAUCUCUAGCUCUUAGAUAAAGGAUGACCGUUUUAAGGACAGCUAAUUACUUAGAUUGUUGUAUCUACUGACAGUUUGGAUAAAACGUGGCCCAUCUGCAUGCUCUGUUCAUAUCAAAAUGACCCUUGUGCCAAAAACAGGAGCUUUUGAAACUUUGACUAGUUCAGUUGCCAUUGCCACUAUGACAUACAACCAACUGUGAGGUUUUUUUUUAACACAUCAAACACAUGUAAGUCGGGAUUUUAUGUAUAUCAAUGACCAAAAUUUCCACUUAAAGCAAAUGACUGUAAAAAUAUGAAACUGGCUGACGUCUAUCCCGCAAGCUCUAAGUGAGUUCCCUUCUACUGCCAGCAGGGGUCAGUAUAAGGCUAUCACAUCCAGAUAGUGGGUCUGAUAAGGCAACUCCGCCAAAGAUCAAUGGCUUUUAGUUCCAGUGCCACCUCCAGCUAAAUCUACUUCAAAUAUCGGCCCUGAGAAAACAACCAUGCCGCUUUGAAUUCAAAGCAGUUUGGUCCAUAACUUCACUGCUCAUGGACUACACAGUGCUGUUUGUAAAGUUGAACAGUCAUUUCGGUGGUUAUUUUUUGAAAUAGCAUUUUGUGCAUGUUAAUUAUAUAUGAAGGAAUACCACAAGAGGAAUAGGUUAAAGGAUAGAGCAGGAUAAUGGGUUAUACUGACGCCAUGUUUGACUGUAUUGAAUCUGUUGUAUUAUAUCAAAUAAAAAGUGUCUUUUCUGAUAUUUGAAUUGUCAGUUUAUCUAAUAAACAAAUAUCAAUUUC
ensembl:lncRNA